UGUUGCUCUUGGAGAUAGCUGGAGUUAGGGAUCCGCCUUCUCUCCCAGAGGCGGGGCAGGUUUCUGUUUGGUUGCCGCCAUGACUGCCAGAACUAAAGCACCUUGCAAGGAAUGAGGUAUUCAAGUAUGUUUUGAGCACCGACGGGCUGUGAAGCGGACUGUGCUGGAAGCUCCUCUUCCUCUUCUCUCCUUAAGCCCUUUAUAUUUGACAUCAGCUUCCCCCACAUUCUCCAAAGCUUCUCUCACAAAUAAAGGUAAUGAUUUCCCAUUUA